rnacentral:rRNA from 1 species
UCGAGAAUUUUUCUCAAUGGGCGAAAGCCUGAAGGAGCGACGCCGCGUGGGGGAUGAAUGGCUUCGGCCCGUAAACCCCUGUCAUUUGCGAACAAACCUUUUCACUUAACACGUGAAGAGCUGAUUGUAGCGAAAGAGGAAGAGACGGCUAACUCUGUGCCAGCAGCCGCGGUAAUACAGAGGUCUCAAGCGUUGUUCGGAUUCACUGGGCGUAAAGGGUGCGUAGGUGGCGGGGCAAGUCUGACGUGAAAUCUCCGGGCUUAACCCGGAAAUGGCGUUGGAAACUGCCUUGCUCGAGGAUUGGAGGGGAGACUGGAAUACUUGGUGUAGCAGUGAAAUGCGUAGAUAUCAAGUGGAACACCAGUGGCGAAGGCGAGUCUCUGGACAAUUCCUGACACUGAGGCACGAAAGCUAGGGGAGCAAACGGG